UUACCCUCCUUCAAAGAGGGGAUCGUUAUUAUUCGUGGGAAUCUCGUGGAUAAUCAAUCUUCGAAGGAUGAUCUGAUGCACAGAGAAUUAAAAACCAGUGGAUUCCAUGACGUUUUUUUAUAAAAAUAUUGACACGAGAUUAGCGGCAGAUGGAUUUCGAGCGUCAUUUCUUUUUAUAUCUCUUUCAUAAUAGUGUGGAUGUAUUAGUGAAACAAGCAAACGAUAAGUUUAUUAAAUAUUACAGUUGAAAUAUCCAAUUGGAAAAUAGUUUUCUUAAAAAAGAAAUCAGGAUAACAACUCUUUCAAUUCGAUCCAAUUAAUAUUAUCGAACGAAUGAUUUUUAUUGACAAUUUUCCUUUCCUCGCUCGAGAGAUUAAUAUCCUAUUUUAUGAAGAGGAAAAAACGAUUGUAUCAUAAUGGAAAUAAAUAAAUAAAUAUAUAUAUAAAAGGAGAAAUUCGGAUGUAAAGGAUCGUGGAUCUCGGAAGCGGGUGUUCGUCACGUCGUCACGAAUUCGACUUUCGAACGGAUCCGCGAAAUGGCUAAAGGUGAUACGACCUCUGAACGAUAUCACUUUCGCUUGCAAAGAUAGGCAAAUUCCGUAUCGCCGACCUGUGAACCCGCCUUUCCCUUCCGACGACGACACACCGCGCGAUGAUAAAUAUUCAAAUAUCCCGCACUCGUGACAGGGCGGCAGUUCCUUUUGUCUCGCAGACAAGCCGUACUCUUUUCUAAUUAAUUAAUUGUUGGGUUCCACUUCCUAUUUUCCAACCGCGAUUUCCCACGCCGAGAGACUUUUUCUCUUCUUCUUCUUUUUUUUUCGACAAAUUGGGAAUGGAAUGAAAGGAGAGGAAAAAAUAUAUUUAUACAUUAGGAGUUUAUCUAGAAUCCUCCAAGUAUUAUCGAGCACGAUAAUACAUUGUUUCUAGACUGCUUGGCACUCGGCCAAUAAAAAAUUAUUUAUUCACGAUUACGACUUGUUAAUACGACGCGUAAUUAAAUAUAUAAACAAUAUCGUGCAAUAAUUGCAACAACAUCUCUGUUCGAUAAUAAAAAUAUGUAUCGUCAUCGGUUAAAGUCCGAGCGAAUUUUUACAUUUCACAAUAGCACUCGAAAGUACAGGUGUACGUCGAUAAACAGCGAAUGGAAUAGUUGAUAAAGAUAUAAAAUAUAAAUUACGCAUCAUCGAAUCGAUUCAACUUUUUAAUUUCGAGACUCGAGAAUUUUUAUCCCCGAUACCGUCCUAAAUUAACACCUGAUAAAUGAUAAUAUAUAUAUAUAUAUAUAUAUAUUAUGUGCAGGUGCGUGAGGAGAAGGAAUGGAAAUAGGUUUACACGCGAGCCGAUUUCACACAUGUCGGGGCACGUGCAGCUGGGCGCAGACCGUGCGCAUUUCUCCCUGGCAUAACUCUCGAUCGCGUGGGCAAUGCCUUAUAGGUAUUGUGAUCGACCGAUUACAAAAGAUCGGCGACCUCUUUUCAGAUACAGACCGGCUCGGGAUCCUGGUUGACGAUUUGCUAACCGGCGAUAAAGAUCUAUCUCGCGUGGUGCGGUCAACGAAACGAGAGUAUUUUUUCUCUCUCUCUCUCUCGCGCAAUUUUCACGAGAAAAAUAAGAGAUAGAUUUUUAUUUCGAUUCAAUAAUAAAUUGUUGUUCGAGAAAUUCUUUCUAUUAGCGGGAGGAUGAAUACUUUCUCGCGGCGGGUCGAGGAAGAAAACUCGAAGGCGGUUGGGAAGGGAGAAAGGGACGGAGAAAGAGGGCGAGGGGGAGCGAGGUAAAAGAGAGAGCCCCGUGACAGGCUCCGAAGAAGAGUUAAAAAAGAAAUAGAGUGACGAGCGCGUGGAGGAGGGAAAAGGGGAAGGACAUUAGAGCCGACCUUGAAAAGAACCUUGCAAGGCCGUUACGCCCUGGACCGUCUCGAUCCGCUGCUUUCAUAGGCCGGAUCUCUCGUUUGAGAUACGAUACGGAGAAAGUCGGAUGAAAUCGGCGUUUUUUUUUUUUCACUCGUCUAUUUUUUAUCGACUCGAAGAUCGAUCUACGAGGAAAGACAAAUUAUUAAUAACUCUAUAGAAAAUAUAUAUGUGAAUUAAAUUCGAAACAUCAGUGGGCAUAAUCUAUUUUUUUUUCGAUUUAAUUUAAAACGUAUAUGUCACAGAAGAAAAUAUAAUAGCAUAGGUUACGAUUUAUCUUUGCUAGAAAUAGAAAAAAAAGAUAGCGAUAAGGAUAAGGCUGAGUAAUUCACGUAAUCGAGAUAUCUUAUCGAUGGAUUUAUCAUUUAUUAUCGUUAGAAAGGUCGACUAACGUCCUAGAGAAUCACUUUUUAAUAGGAAUUUAAUUCAAAGCGUGACUAUAAUCAUGCAAUCAACGUAAGAGUUAAUGAACAAUUGCGUUUCAUCGAGACGUCUAUCAAACGUGAUUCAAUUCGAUAAAACGAAGAACGUCAAGGUUAGCUCGAUUUCAAAUCGAAACGAAUUCCGUCGCAUCGGAGAAUGGGGGACCGAUUUUAUGAAACAGGAAUUUCAAGCUCGUUUCCUUGCUCGAGCUCGAUGCACGAUAGUUGCAUCAACGUCCCAUAAAUAUUCGUUAACCUCUAAUAAGCGUUCCUUUUCAUUCCGUCCUAACUAUACCAGCUAGAUAAUAGUCUGCCUCUGUAAUUACCAACUUACUCUAGGAGCCCUCUGGAGGUUAACUAACGAAACUAACCCGGAAUACCGCGCAUGCCCCGUUUUGAGAUCUUCUCCGCUCGGAUUCCCCCCCUCCCUCCAGUCUUUCCAUCGAAAUUUCGACCAGUCGAUGUAAAUAAAAGUCGGGGAGAAAAUUUUUCUUCAAUCGAAAAAUAAGAUAGAAACUAUUGUGUAUUAUAGGACGUUGAUCGGGCGUUACGCAAGAUUUCGUUUGCUGUCGAGUUAUUCGUCGAGUGGUUUAUUUGUUGGGCUGGUGGGUUGGUUGGCUGCACGGCAACACGGCAACUGCGAAGACGAUCGACCAGCCACGAACAAGAAGUAAAGGAGAACGUCCUUGCAAGGCCGGCCGCCGACGCCCGAGAGUCAAGCCUCUCUCUUUCGCUCUCCCUCUCCUUCUCUCACACACUUCGUCAACCUCUGUCCCUCUUUCGCCUCACUGCCUCGCUCGCUCGCUCGCUUCGUUACAUUUCUCGCUCGCUUCGAUUCCUGUCUCGAUCCCACUUUCGAUCCACGUAUCCUCUACCGAUCCUUCGUCUGCACGUUCGCCAGAUUACACGCGGCUAUGUAACAUCCAACCUACCAUCCUGUACCGCUUAUAUAGAAAACUGUCGUCUCACCUAUCGCGAGCGUGGUUACCAACGCGCGCAUCCUGCAUUCCGAUCUACUCUGGGGCCUGGAUAGAAAAGCGAGCGGCAAGAUCGCGUGAGAAAACCGGGAAGGAUCGACUUAAUUCGUUUGACGAUGAUUAGAUACCGACUUCGUGGAAAGCCAAACCCUCGGUGCCUACGACCAUUUCUCACGCUCACGUGAAAAGAAAAAUGUUCUUUUUUUCCCCCCGAUUUGGUCGACGAUUAUUUCCGUAUUCAUCCGCUAGGGGUCAGGUACGUACAAGAAAGUGAAAAGAAAUGUGUCAAAGUUAAAAUUCGGCAUUGAUCGAAUAGAUACUUGAUACUCUACUCGAUGAACAGAUUGGUGGAAAUUUUUCAGAAUUAUUUUUCGAAAUAGUAUUAUUCUUUACGAGUGAAAACUUUUUAUUAUCAACAUAACCUUUCAAAAUUUGUCGCAGGAGUGUCGAGUUUUUCCCAAAUGAAUUUUUUAUUUUAAUCGAAUUUACGACUAUACAUCGAAUUCGAUCUCAUCCACGGAGAGACUUUCACGACUCUCGUUUCUUUAUUCGAUCGAGUGUUCGAAAUAAACGUGGCGACGACAAUACGGCCAAACGACCAAGGAAUAAAAUUUCUCGUGUAUUAUCUGUGUUCCUGUCACUGCACCACGGUGCACGGUCGGUUAAAAAAUUAUCCCUGGCCGCCCCGCCUGCUUCGGUUCCACCUCGUCGACGAAUAAAUUCACCGAUAAUGGUGUUACUACACGAGUUUUUUUCUUCCCCCCUCAAUGCUUUCGUUUCGAUAUAAGGAAUUUACUAUCGUUGCGAUAUUUUGUAACAGUACUUUGCGGCUUACGAUAUAUUUGCUAUAAGUCAGCAGGAAUGCUGUGAAAAGAGUGCUGAAAAUGUUCCCCGUACGAAUCUUCCACUUCUCGGAACGACGAUAAACGUUAAUUAACAAGACAUCGACGUGAAGAAAGCUGUUUGUUCCCUUGUUUAGCGCGUAUCAGUCACGUCGAGGCGUUAAACAAAAGUCGAUGAACUUUUGUCGUAAAUAUAACCGUUCCGAAAUUGUCUGCGUAAAAUAACGCGUUACAUGCUUGUCACGUAUAAACGUUGCGUUCCAUGGUGUCGAUCAGAUUUUCUCACGCAUGACGAAACUGUUUAUUCAUUAUCGUUACGGAUGAUUUUCCUCUUACACAGAGUAUCUAAACUGAAAUUACCAUCUUGAUUUUUGUUAUUAUUAUUAUUAUUCGCAACGAGAAAUAUGUUUGAAUGUUGGAAAUUGAAUUAUUUCGAAGCGUAUUCCAUUUAUCAAUUUUUAGGUUAUGUACGAUGUACGUAAAGUCCGAAGAUCAUUCCAACUCGAAUUAAAACUUUUCUAUUCAUCAAAUAUCGUGUUACAUCAAGCAAUAUAUAAUUUCGAAAGAGCAAAAUUGACUUUUUAUCAAUAAUAAUACGAAAUAAAAAAAGUUAAUAUUGGAAUACGACCGUUCAAUAAAUAUUCGUUUUCCAAACGAUUGCGAAUAACAUAACAGUAUAAUGAUAAAAAUCAAGACAAUUUCGAGAUUCUUGAUAACACAAAACAACGGUCUCGACUUGAAAAAAACCUUCGGGUAAAAAUUUCGCCCCGUUACGAAUUUCGUCGCGAAUGUCGACUCGUAUCUCGUAGGUGUGCGAGAGUAACAGCAGCAAAUGAAUUUGCAGCACGGCCGCAAGUGGGCGCAAAUCUAUGAACGCGAACGCCACGCAACGGGCUGUUUCGCGCGGCCCACUUCGUGCUCCAUCGCCGGCAGAAAUGUGCAUGUGCACUUGCGGCUUGUUGCGCAGCUCGGCUGCUGCUACUCUCGAAACUGUGGGGGCGUCGUGAUACCGAUCGAUCAGACAUAUACACAACUACGUUGUGUGUCGCUCGCAUGAAUCGCGCUUUUAUAAAUAGGCGCGCAUAGGUGUUUUAGCGCGCCUAUAGGGGCUAGAUUAGUAUCUUUUUCUCUCUCUCUCUCCUCUCUCUCUCUUUUUCUUUCACGCGUUGCGCGCGAACGUGGGGAGGGGAACGUGGCAACCAAAAGACGUUAAAUAUUGACAUCGGUUAAACGAUGUUAUUUCUCGGUAAAUCAUUUUAUCGAUUAUUGAAGAAACUUGGAAAGAUAUAUUAUCUGUAUAAAUCUAUCCUUGGAUAUAUAUUGGAUAGAGCUAGACUAUGAUGGAUAUCUUUGGAGAGCGAUUUGUUAAUACUCGAGGGGUGGAGGAGGAGGAGGAGGAGGGAAAAAAAGAAAGAAAAAUACUCGCGGAUAGGAAUCUUCGCGACCUGAUAAAUCUCGAAGCGGCUCGAGGUUUCGAUACGGUCUGUAAUUACGGCGCGUAACGAAAGUGUUACGUGUAGGUGCUGCUCUUGGAAGCCUUGGGGCUGAGAAUCAGGUAUCUAAGGGCGUGCCCAGACCGAGACGACUUUUAUUGUCGGCAAUAUCAUUGACCGCAUCUAUAUACACAUUUUUCUAAUCCUGCAAAUGAAUGAUCGUUUGCCCGUUCGUUUUCGUGCCAUAAGUAAUCCACAAGACGUAUCGUGGGAAACGAAUGAUUAGAAAAAGGAAUUGAAAGAUGGUUGUCCCGAUUCCAAGCGAAUCGCAGAGGAGGAGGAGGAGACAUCUUUUUCUUUUAUUUCGUCGCAACGAAGAAAGAAAUGGAAAGUCAAGGCUAGGCGUUUAAUUUAAUAUCAGAUUUCUCCUCCCCUUUUUAAAGAAUUUUAAAACUCGUGCAAACUGAAGCUCGAUCACGGCUAUUUUUAAAGACUUGUGGUGUUACACAAGAUUAGUAAUUAAAAAGUUGUACAAUUGUAAAAAUUGUAAAAGGCGUACGUGCACGAAUAAUCUUACUUGUCAUGCUUGAUGACCGUUAGAUAAGAUAUUGAAUUCGAUAAAACGAACAUUUCUUGGUAAUCUUGAAUAAUCCUUUAGAAACAAGAUAUAUAUAUAUUUUUUUAAACAAUUUAAAUUACAAAACAAGAGGAUUAUUAUAUUUAAGAAAAAAAAUCAAGCUUACUCUGAUGAUCCUCUGGUGAUCUCUUGGAUCGUGACCAACAAGAAGGAGAAACUCGAAUCUGUGUAACGGAUGGAUAAACAGUGUGGCAAAAGGAAUGGUAAAAAAAAUAUUCGAGACGCGAUACACACACCGGAUAAUGUCCAACAAGAAACACCUCCUAACCAAAUUGAUUUAUACUCUCGGGAAUAAUGUGACGUGUUACCAUGGACAAUCAAUUGACUCGUGCUUCGCAAAGAAGUAAAGUGUGUCGAGUGUUAAAAGUUCGAAUCGAUUGCAAUCGAAUGGAAAUCGAUUAAUCGAGAAGAAGAUCGAUCGAUUGGAAUUUUUCCUUUUCCUUCUUCUUUCUCUUCUUCUUUUUUUUCCAGAAACGGAGGAGCGUUAAAGUGGGCGUUUGAAAGAGGGAAGAAAAGUCGGGAUCGACAACCACUGGAUCUUGAAACGAUGCAAACGUGUGGUCAGUUUAAUAAGAGACUGAAUAUCGCAUUACCUCUAGCCGUAUAUCGAGGUGUCCUGGAU